GUAGGUGGCAAGCGUUGUCCGGAAUUAUUGGGCGUAAAGCGCGCGCAGGCGGUUCUUUAAGUCUGAUGUGAAAGCCCACGGCUCAACCGUGGGGGGUCAUUGGAAACUGGAGAACUUGAGUACAGAAGAGGAAAGCGGAAUUCCACGUGUAGCGGUGAAAUGCGUAGAGAUGUGGAGGAACACCAGUGGCGAAGGCGGCUUUCUGGUCUGUAACUGACGCUGAGGCGCGAAAGCGUGGGGAGCAAACAGGGAUUAGAUACCCUGGUAGUCCACGCCGUAAACGAUGAGUGCUAAGUGUUAGGGGGUUUCCCGCCCCCUUAGUGCUGCAGCUAACGCAUUAAGCACUCCGCCUGGGGAGUACGGCCGCAAGGCUG
rnacentral:rRNA from 1 species